UCCCUAUGAGGAAGAAUUCCCAUUGAUAGGAAGUGCCGUAUGACACUCCAAACCACGGCGGUUUA